CCUACGGGAGGCAGCAGUGGGGGAUAUUGCACAAUGGGGGAAACCCUGAUGCAGCGACGCAGCGUGGGCGAAGAAGUAUUUCGGUAUGUAAAGCCCUAUCAACAGGGAAGAAGAAAUGUCGGUACCUGAGUAAGAAUCACCGGCUAAAUACGUGCCAGCAGCCGCGGUAAUACGUAUGGUGCAAGCGUUAUCCGGAUUUACUGGGUGUAAAGGGAGCGCAGGCGGCACGGCAAGCCUGAUGUGAAAGCUCGCGGCCCAACCGCGGGAUUGCAUUGGGAACUACCGGGCUGGAGUGCCGGAGAGGUAGGCGGAAUUCGUAGUGUAGCGGUGAAAUGCGUAGAUAUUAGGAAGAACACCAGUUGCGAAGGCGGCCCACUGGACUGUGACUGACGCUGAGGCUCGAAAGUGUGGGGAGCAAACAGGAUUAGAUACCCUUGUAGUC
rnacentral:rRNA from 1 species